UGAUCUAUCAACUUUGUUUGUAGUGCCUUUGACUAAAAAGGUUCUAACGGAUAACGAGAGAUUAGGGUUUGAUUUCGGAGAGGAGGCCUGAGACACUGCCUCCACUUCCAAGGAAGGCAGCAGGAGCGAAAAUUUCUCAAUGACACCUCGUCGAAGAAGUGACAAGAAUUAACAGAACUGGGUCCUUUUUGGAACAGUAUCUGUGAUGAGAACAAUUUAAAACCAUUAACUAGUAGCCAUGAGAGGGCAAGUCUGGUGCCAGCAGCCGCGGUAAUUCCAGCUCUUAGAGUGUAUAUGAAUGUUGUUGUAGUUAAAAAGCACAUAGCUGAUAAUGAUUUAUCAGCCACUUAUCGGUCACUUGUGAUUGGUAUUGUUGGUGUGAUAGACGAAAAGUCCAUUGAGUAGCAGGCGGUUGGUGGAAACACUGAUGCGCGCCCUUCAUUCCUACACAGUUUGGAGGACCUCUUUGGAAGAGAUUGACUUUGAAUAAAUUAGAGUGUUUAAAACAGGCUUUCUAGCCUUUGAAUAUAUUAGCAUAGUAUCACAGAAUAUGAUCGACUCACCCAGAAGCCUCGUAGAUUUUCUUCGAGGUGGGUCGUAUAAUGAGAGAUAGGAGCUGAUGGAGCGAUCUUUAUUUGUUGGGGAGGGGUGAAAUCCUAUGAUCCAACGAAGAAACACUAAUGCGAAAGCACCUCGCUAAGAUGUUUUUAUUAGUCAAGUACGAAAGUUAAGGGCGCGAAGAUGAUUAGAUACCAUCGUAGUCUUAACUGUAAACAAUGUUGAUUUAGGAUGUGAAAUCAUUUAUUAUGACUUUUCACGGAUUAUACGAGAAAUCUAGAAUAUUCGAACUCUAGGGGAAGUAUUAUCGCAAGAUAGAAACUUAAACGAAUUGACGGAAGAGCACCACCAGGCGUGGAACCUGCGGCUUAAUUUGACUCAACGCGGGAAACCUUACCAGGACAAGACAUUAAAAGGAUUGACAGAUUGAUAGAUCUUUCAUGAUAUAAUGAAAGGUGGUGCAUGGCCGUUUUUAGUUGGUGGUUUGAAUUGUCUGGUUAAUUCCGAUAACGUAACAAGACCUUUUCCUGCUAUUUA
rnacentral:rRNA from 1 species